UACGGGGGGAGCAAGCGUUGUUCGGAUUUACUGGGCGUAAAGGGCGCGUAGGCGGUCAGCACAAGUCAGUUGUGAAAUCUCUGGGCUUAACCCAGAAAGGUCAACUGAUACUGCGGGGCUAGAGUGCAGAAGGGGCAACUGGAAUUCUCGGUGUAGCGGUGAAAUGCGUAGAUAUCGAGAGGAACACCUGCGGCGAAGGCGGGUUGCUGGGCUGACACUGACGCUGAUGCGCGAAAGCUAGGGGAGCGAACGGG
rnacentral:rRNA from 1 species